UUCCCAAAUUCUUAGCUAUCCACCCCUUCUUCCUCAAAUCCACCAAGCUCACCUCCACUCUCUUCCUCUUCUCUAUCCAUGCCAGCGGCAGUGGUGGCAGCCCAGCUCCCCUCCCCUCUGCUUUCCUCCACAAGCAGCACUGGCGCCCCUCUCCUUUGCCUCCCACUGAGGUCUGGCAGCCAUGGCUCCGAGCAGAGCUAGCUCCCUUGCCUCGCUUCCCCUGGAGCACCAAAAUUUAAGGGAGACACACACCCGCGCAGCACCUAGCCCUCGGCAUCGGGCGGCGGGAGGGGGCACGGGCUCAUGGCGCUGGCUCGUCGGCGCCGCCGGCAGGAGCUGCGCCAGCUCGACGGCGCAUCGGCGGGAGGGGGCAUGGACGGCAUGCCGGCGGGAGGGGGCUGCGGGUCUUGACGGCGCACCGGCGGGAGGGGGCGAGCAGUGCGGGAAAGGAGGCUCUGCGGGAGGGGGAGGCCAAGAUUACGAGUGCGAGACAUCGACAAAUAUGCCUAGAAAGGGGGAAUGGAUUCCGAGCGGAGGUAGAUGGCAAGCCUCUUGGGUGCCGGUUUCUGCCCUUUCUCUCUUUUUUUUACCGAUCCAAAUACAGAUGUGACCAGGGUGGCAAAUCAAGUUCUUGUAAUUAGAGGACACAAUGGUAUGCUGCCAGCUGCUCGUACGGACAGCCAUUCAAGUCAGUUGCCUUCACAUUUAUAAAGCUUAGCUAUGUCUGCGAGUUUUGUUACACAAUAGAUACUUUAUAAUGGUUAAAAGCUGGGUAGUAACUGUAUAUUAUGUAACAUGCACUACUACAAUAAUCUUUAUCGAGACGGGCAAAAACGAUUAACCAAUGCAUUUUUUGCAAUCACCUCGGAUCAAAGGUCACGAUAAAUGACCUAUUUUCUGAGGCGGAUUGCUGCCCGCCUCGGUUAAUCAAAUAAAAAAAAGAAAAGCCCGUCGACGAGCCUGCUGAGUCUAUCGACGGGCCGGCCAAGCCCAUCGCCGCUGCUGCCCGACCAACCUGUGCCGCCACUGCUGCAAGCCACUGCUGCGGGCUCCGUCCCGCCGCAUGCCGGGCUGCCGCCGCUGCCAUAGGACGCUCCGCCACCGCUGCAGGCCACGCCCCACCGCUGCUGCAGGCCGCGCCGUGCGGGAUGGAGGGGAGGUGAUGAGGAUACGACACAUUCGGAUACGAACAUUGAUUAUAAGGUGAGUUCGUUCUUAUAUUUGCAUAAUGAUUUCUUGUAUAAUUCACUUGGUUCCACAUGUACCUAUCAUUAUUUGUUUGUAGGUACAAAUGUGUUAUUACAAUGUUGUCGCGGUCUUUUUAUUCACACAUGGGACCAGACCCAUGUUGGAGCAUGCCCCACAUAUGUGGAGAUAACUUCAAAGAUGCCAAGGACGUUCUUUCCCUUGGCCACCACCUUAGAAGACCAGCAAGGGCGCCCAAGUCAAGGUGGAGGCCCAAACCAAGUCAACUUCGAGUCCACCUCGUGGUCCAGGAGCAGUCUGCCUUAGAUUGGACGCCCAGGCCACGUACGGAGUCCGAUUUCGAUGAUCCACAUAUAGUUGGAAAGAUAAUUUCAUAGAUCUUGUAAUGGCACCGGUCCCACGUCCAAAUGAUAUCUGAGUCAACAGGAAUCAUUGAAACAAUUGGAUGUCCAGAAUCUGUCAGGGUGCUGCGCCACCGUCUUUUGUGUUGUUGGGGCAUGUAUUGUCAUUGGGUCCAUUAGGGACGCGACCAGAUGGUUGAGGUCAUACCUACCCUCUAUAUUUAGUAGCCGUCGCCCUAGUUAGAGUUUGGAUUUUGAUUAGAUUAAUCUGUCAAGAACAGUUUCGCUGCUGUGUCGGUUUGUGAGACCCCAACUCGUGAGAUUAAUCUAUCAUCUGAAAAUUUGGUUGCAA